rnacentral:piRNA from 2 species
UGACAAACUUUCAGAGACUGUUGAUUUGGU